rnacentral:rRNA from 1 species
UACGUAGGGGGCAAGCGUUGUCCGGAAUCAUUGGGCGUAAAGAGCGUGUAGGCGGUCCGGUCAGUCGGUUGUGAAAGUCAAGGGCUCAACCCUUGAAUGCCGGCCGAUACUGCCGGGCUAGAGUCCGGAAGAGGUGAGUGGAAUUCCUGGUGUAGCGGUGAAAUGCGCAGAUAUCAGGAGGAACACCGAUGGCGAAGGCAGGUCUCUGGGCCAUAACUGACGCUGAGAAGCGAAAGCAUGGGGGAGCGAACAGG